rnacentral:rRNA from 1 species
GACGAACGCUGGCGGCGUGCUUAACACAUGCAAGUCGAACGGAAAGGCCUGCUUUCCCUUGUGGAUUGCGGGUACUCGAGUGGCGAACGGGUGAGUAACACGUGAGUGAUCUGCCCCCAACUUGGGUAUAAGCCUGGGAAACUGGGUCUAAUUCCCGAUAGGACUGCAGGGUGGUGCCUGUGGUGGAAAACGAUUUUCUAGUGGUUGGGGAUGAGCUCGCGGCCUAUCAGCUUGUUGGUGGGGUAAUGGCCUACCAAGGCGGCGACGGGUAGCCGGCCUGAGAGGGUGGACGGCCACAUUGGGACUGAGAUACGGCCCAGACUCCGACGGGAGGCAGCAGUGGGGAAUAUUGCACAAUGGGCGGAAGCCUGAUGCAGCGACGCCGCGUGGGGGAUGACGGCCUUCGGGUUGUAAACUCCUUUCGACCGCGAGGAAGCCACCUGGUUGGAAGGGUGGUGACGGUAGUGGGAGAAGAAGCACCGGCUAACUACGUG